GGGGAUAUGGCGGAAUUGGUAGACGCUACGGACUUAAAAUCCGUCGGUUCUUAGACCUUGAGGGUUCAAGUCCCUCUAUUCCCA
rnacentral:tRNA from 1 species